UACGGGGGGGGUAAGCGUUGUUCGGAAUUACUGGGCGUGAAGGGCUCGUAGGCGGCCAACUAAGUCAGACGUGAAAUCCCUCAGCUUAACUGGGGAACUGCGUCUGAUACUGGAUGGCUUGGAUUCGGGAGAGGAAUGCGGAAUUCCAGGUGUAGCGGUGAAAUGCGUAGAUAUCUGGAGGAACACCGGUGGCGAAGGCGGCAUCCUGGACCGGCAUUGACGCUGAGGCGCGAAAGCCAGGGGAGCAAAGCGGG
rnacentral:rRNA from 1 species